CUAAGGAUUUUUGGGUCUUUGAUACUGUGAACCAAACUUAAGAGGGGUAAAAACUCUUUUUCUUGGAAAUCUCUGACAAACUCCUCUCUCAAAACCAGAGUUUUCUUCCCAACCAUUUCACACAGUCAAGAAGUUUUUGAUUUGGUAAAGGAGAAUUUAAACUCAACCCAUCAUCUGUUUUUCGGUUGAAGAUCUAUCUGCACAGAGUACGAAGAGAAGUUGCAGCAGUAAGCCGGGCAGAGCUUACGGAAAGCUGUUAGCGCUUGAAAAUGUCUGUGUCGGUAGCAUCAAGCUCUGUACGUAAGAAAAGAAAUCUCAACAAGAGGACAACACGCCUUGAGAAUGGUUUUGAAAAACUGUUGGGUUCUGUCAACACUGUUGCCGAAGCUAGUUGAAGAGUACGAAGAGAAGUUGCAGCAGUAAGCCGGGCAGAGCUUACGGAAAGCUGUUAGCGCUUGAAAGUUAGUAUUUUGUUAAUCUUUUGAUAUUGUAUAUCACGGGGUACCUGGGUAGUUUAGUUUGUUUUCCUCGAUCCCAUUCCAUUUUUGUAUAUUUUACCGCUAUCAUUGGGAUCUUGUAAAUGAUCUUUUUAUGGUCUUUGUUUUUAAAUAUUUAUGUGUAGCAGAUAUCAAUUAACUUAGCUUAACCAUGCAGUAUGCAUCCUACAUAUUUUACAUUUGUAUUUAGUUUGGAUUUGCCUAGACUACAUUUAUAACUGGGUGCUUGAAAUGUCUAAGUGUGACUCAUAAAUAGCAGAUGAUAAGAUGUUUUUAUUAA